rnacentral:rRNA from 1 species
UACGUAGGGCGCAAGCGUUGUCCGGAAUUAUUGGGCGUAAAGAGCUCGUAGGCGGUCUGUUACGUCCGCUGUGAAAACCCAGGGCUUAACCCUGGGCUUGCAGUGGAUACGGGUAGACUAGAGGCAGGUAGGGGAGAAUGGAAUUCCCGGUGUAGCGGUGAAAUGCGCAGAUAUCGGGAGGAACACCGGUGGCGAAGGCGGUUCUCUGGGCCUGACCUGACGCUGAGGAGCGAAAGCGUGGGGAGCGAACAGG